UACGAAGGGGGCGAGCGUUGUUCGGAGUUACUGGGCGUAAAGGGCGCGUAGGCGGCGAUCCAAGUUAGGCGUGAAAGCCCCGGGCUUAACCUGGGAAUUGCGCUUAAGACUGGACCGCUUGAGUGCGGGAGAGGUGAGUGGAAUUCCCAGUGUAGAGGUGAAAUUCGUAGAUAUUGGGAAGAACACCAGUGGCGAAGGCGGCUCACUGGCCCGCAACUGACGCUGAGGCGCGAAAGCGUGGGGAGCAAACAGG
rnacentral:rRNA from 1 species